rnacentral:rRNA from 1 species
UCGGGAAUUUUGCUCAAUGGGGGAAACCCUGAAGCAGCAACGCCGCGUGCGGGAUGAAGGCCUUCGGGUUGUAAACCGCUUUUAUCAGGGACGAUGAUGACGGUACCUGAUGAAUAAGUCACGGCUAACUACGUGCCAGCAGCCGCGGUAAUACGUAGGUGACCAGCGUUGUCCGGAUUUACUGGGCGUAAAGAGCGCGCAGGCGGUCGUUCAAGUCGAGUGUGAAAGCCCCCGGCUCAACUGGGGAGGGUCAUUCGAUACUGAUCGACUGGAAGGCAGGAGAGGGAAGCGGAAUUCCCGGUGUAGUGGUGAAAUGCGUAGAUAUCGGGAGGAACACCAGUGGCGAAGGCGGCUUCCUGGCCUGUUCUUGACGCUGAGGCGCGAAAGCUAGGGGAGCAAACG